ensembl:snRNA U6 U6 spliceosomal RNA
GUUCUUGAGCACUUAAAAUAUAUCAAAAGCAGUGAACAAUGAAGAGAAGAUUAGCAUGGCCCCUAUGCAAGGUGACACAAAAUUCAUGAAGCAUUCCAUAUUAAA